ACAUGAAUGACUCAGCGCAGUAUGAAGUCUUUGUUUUCUUCCGAAAACAAGCUCAAUGAGAGCCAUCGGGGGUAGAUCUAUCUCAUGACGAGUGGUGGAAUACUUUGACUCAUGAGAGAGAAGCUGAGGCGAAGGCGUCUACCUAGAGGGUUUCUGUCGAUCAAGGGCGAGAGUAGGAGUAUCCAACAGGAUUAGAGACCCUGGUAGUUCCUACCUUAAACGAUGCCGACAGGAGUUUGUCAUUUGUUAAUGGCAGAAUCUUUGGAGAAAUCAUAGUUCUUGGGCUCUGGGGGAACUACGACCGCAAGGCUGAAACUUGAAGGAAUUGACGGAAGGGCACACCAGGGGUGGAGCCUGUGGCUUAAUUUGAAUCAACACGGGGAAACUUACCAGGACCAGAUGUUUUUUAUGACUGACAGGCUUCGGGUCUUUCAGGAUAUUGUUUUUGGUGGUGCAUGGCCGUUGGUGGUGCGUGGGUUGACCUGUCUAGCGUUGAUUCAGCUAACGAGCGAGAUUAUCGCCAAUUAUUUACUUUGCCGAAGUCCUUCGGUUAAAGUUCUAAUUGGGACUCCCUGCGAUUUUAGCAGGUGGAAGAGGGUAGCAAUAACAGGUCCGUGAUGCCCUUUAGAUGCUCUGGGCUGCACGCGUGCUACAAUGUUAGGAUCAAUAGGACUGCGAGCCUGAGAGGGUGCGCUACUCUUAUAAUCCCUAACGUAGUUGGGAUUGACGUUUGUAAUCAGCGUCAUGAACCAGGAAUCCCUUGUAAAUGUGUGUCAACAACGCACGUUGAAUACGUCCCUGCCCUUUGUACACACCGCCCGUCGCUCCUACCGAUUGGAUGACUCGGUGAAAUCACCGGAUGCUUACGAGCAGAAAGUGAUUAAAUCACGUUAUCUAGAGGAACGAGAAGUCGUAACAAGGUAACGGUAGGUGAACCUGCCGUUGGAUCAGUU
rfam:Trichomonas vaginalis G3, whole genome shotgun sequence.